rnacentral:rRNA from 1 species
UACGUAGGGGCAAGCGUUGUCCGGAAUCAUUGGGCGUAAAAGCGUGUAGGCGGUUUGGUAAGUCCGCUGUGAAAGUCAAGGCUCAACCCUUGAAAGCCGGUGGAUACUGUCGAACUAGAGUCCGGAAGAGGCGAGUGGAAUUCCUGGUGUAGCGGUGAAAUGCGCAGAUAGUCAAGGAGGGAACACCGGAUGGCGAAGGCAGCUCGCUGGGACGGUACUGACGCUGAGACGCGAAAGCGUGGGAGCAAAC